AAUGGGGGAAACCCUGAUCCAGCAAUGCCGCGUGUGGGAAGAAGGCCUUUGGGUUGUAAACCACUGUUAUAGGGGAAAAAGGUAGCAAGGUGAACAAUCUUGUUGCUUGAUGGUACCCUAAGAGGAAGCGCCGGCUAACUCCGUGCCAGCAGCCGCGGUAAUACGGAGGGCGCAAGCGUUGUUCGGAUUUACUGGGCGUAAAGUGUGUCUAGGUGGAAUUGUAAGUCAGGUGUGAAAGACCGAGGCUCAACCUCGGAAUUGCGCCUGAAACUACUUUUCUUGAGUAAUGGAGGGGUGAGUGGAAUUCCAUGUGUAGCAGUGAAAUGCGUAGAUAUGUGGAAGAACACCGGUGGCGUAGGCGACUCACUGGCCAUUUACUGACACUGAAGCACGAAAGCGUGGGGAGCAAA
rnacentral:rRNA from 1 species